rnacentral:rRNA from 1 species
UACGUAGGGGGCAAGCGUUGUCCGGAAUCAUUGGGCGUAAAGAGCGUGUAGGCGGCUUGGUAGGUCCGCUGUGAAAGUCCAGGGCUCAACCCUGGAAUGCCGGUGGAAACUGUCAAGCUUGAGUCCGGAAGAGGCGAGUGGAAUUCCUGGUGUAGCGGUGAAAUGCGCAGAUAUCAGGAGGAACACCAAUGGCGAAGGCAGCUCGCUGGGACGGUACUGACGCUGAGACGCGAAAGCGUGGGGAGCAAACAGG